GGCAGGGUGAGUCGACCCCUAAGGCGAGGCCGAAAGGCGUAGUCGAUGGGAAACAGGUUAAUAUUCCUGUACUUGGUGUUACUGCGAAGGGGGGACGGAGAAGGCUAUGUUGGCCGGGCGACGGUUGUCCCGGUUUAAGCGUGUAGGCUGAUUUUCCAGGCAAAUCCGGAAAAUCAAGGCUGAGGCGUGAUGACGAGGCACUACGGUGCUGAAGCAACAAAUGCCCUGCUUCCAGGAAAAGCCUCUAAGCAUCAGGUAACAUCAAAUCGUACCCCAAACCGACACAGGUGGUCAGGUAGAGAAUACCAAGGCGCUUGAGAGAACUCGGGUGAAGGAACUAGGCAAAAUGGUGCCGUAACUUCGGGAGAAGGCACGCUGAUAUGUAGGUGAAGCGACUUGCUCGUGGAGCUGAAAUCAGUCGAAGAUACCAGCUGGCUGCAACUGUUUAUUAAAAACACAGCACUGUGCAAACACGAAAGUGGACGUAUACGGUGUGACGCCUGCCCGGUGCCGGAAGGUUAAUUGAUGGGGUUAGCGGUAACGCGAAGCUCUUGAUCGAAGCCCCGGUAAACGGCGGCCGUAACUAUAACGGUCCUAAGGUAGCGAAAUUCCUUGUCGGGUAAGUUCCGACCUGCACGAAUGGCGUAAUGAUGGCCAGGCUGUCUCCACCCGAGACUCAGUGAAAUUGAACUCGCUGUGAAGAUGCAGUGUACCCGCGGCAAGACGGAAAGACCCCGUGAACCUUUACUAUAGCUUGACACUGAACAUUGAGCCUUGAUGUGUAGGAUAGGUGGGAGGCUUUGAAGUGUGGACGCCAGUCUGCAUGGAGCCGGCCUUGAAAUACCACCCUUUAAUGUUUGAUGUUCUAACGUUGGCCCCUGAUCGGGGUUGCGGACAGUGUCUGGUGGGUAGUUUGACUGGGGCGGUCUCCUCCUAAAGAGUAACGGAGGAGCACGAAGGUUGGCUAAUCCUGGUCGGACAUCAGGAGGUUAGUGCAAUGGCAUAAGCCAGCUUGACUGCGAGCGUGACGGCGCGAGCAGGUGCGAAAGCAGGUCAUAGUGAUCCGGUGGUUCUGAAUGGAAGGGCCAUCGCUCAACGGAUAAAAGGUACUCCGGGGAUAACAGGCUGAUACCGCCCAAGAGUUCAUAUCGACGGCGGUGUUUGGCACCUCGAUGUCGGCUCAUCACAUCCUGGGGCUGAAGUAGGUCCCAAGGGUAUGGCUGUUCGCCAUUUAAAGUGGUACGCGAGCUGGGUUUAGAACGUCGUGAGACAGUUCGGUCCCUAUCUGCCGUGGGCGCUGGAGAACUGAGGGGGGCUGCUCCUAGUACGAGAGGACCGGAGUGGACGCAUCACUGGUGUUCGGGUUGUCAUGCCAAUGGCACUGCCCGGUAGCUAAAUGCGGAAGAGAUAAGUGCUGAAAGCAUCUAAGCACGAAACUUGCCCCGAGAUGAGUUCUCCCUGAGACUUAGAGUCUCCUGAAGGAACGUUGAAGACGACGACGUUGAUAGGCCGGGUGUGUAAGCGCAGCGAUGCGUUGAGCUAACCGGUACUAAUGAACCGUGAGGCUUAACCUU
rnacentral:rRNA from 1 species